rnacentral:misc_RNA from 1 species
CUCCUGGUUCCAGGUUC